AACAACUAAACAUUGUCUGUAAUUUUAUAGCUGAUUUUUGAUUGUGAUUGAUUGCAGUGACUCUUGUGAAAACCAUUGGGAGCAAACCAGAUGUGACUCCAAUCUGCACCAAUGAAAAAGAGAAGAUCAUCACACUUGUAAUAUGUAAGAUCAGAACAGAGAUGAGAAGAGAAGAGUGUCGUCUGACAUAUUAUCUUCGAAAAGGUUUUAUACAUAAAUGUGACUCCAGAUUCACACUUAUGAUGGAGAAUCAGACUAUGUUUCUCCACCUGACCAGUUUAACACCAGUGGAUAGUGGGAACUUCACCUGUGAGUGUUCACAUCAUGGUGGAACAUAUAUUCUCCAUCUGAAUAUCACUGUGGAAGAGGAUGAAGACCCCGACAGUACAACAGGAACAGAAAUAUCUUUAGUUAAUAUUGGACUUGGAAUUGGUGUAUUUAUAUUCAUCAUUAUAACCGGAGUUAUCCUGGGAGUUAUCUUCAGAAAGAUUCACCAUAGAGUCUGUUCAAGUUUAGCAACAUCUGGAUUAUCUGUGUGUGAAUCUCCUGGCUCUCUGGACCAAGAUGACCCUGAUGACCUCGACAGAAGCCUUCAGCAACCAGAAAGUGAUCUCUACCAAACUAUCUCAAAUCCAGCCAGCAAAAUAGUGACUGUCCACUUGGAUAGAAUGGAAAAAUAGACAAAAGAGAAACAGAUUCAAGUUACAAAAUGUACAUAUUUCUGUGUAAAGAUAUUUGUUAUAUGAGGUGUUUUCCAAAAUACUCAGACUGAAGUUUGUUAAAACACGUCUGUAUGUGAAUGUAUCUGUGUCAUUGGAACUGUAUGAAGAAUAAAUAUCUCAAAGGCAUUGCAGUCACACAAACUACGUUACAGUUUGUUUCUUCAUUUCAACAACUAUAAUUCACUUUCAUCACUUACAGUUGUAGCAAGUUAUAACAGUGCUGUGUGAGUAAGACAUUGGUUUCAAGCUGCAAACAACAUGCUGCUUUCUAAUUAAAGCUCAAGCUCAGGCGUCUCAGUAUGAGAUCACCACAAACAUACGUCAGUUUUAGCAGGUCAAGUGAUCUUUAUUGGCCCUAACCAUGUGAACUGUAAGCAGUGCAGGCAGUAGUUAAUAUUGAUUGGUCUCUUAAUGGAUCUAGCUCAAACUGUAGUCUGAAGACCUGAUGUUUGAUAAUCUGUAAUCUUAUAGACACAUGUAACACAGUAAUCUGUCUGUAUUUAUUAAUUUGCUACAGUUUUACCUUUCAGAGAGUCCUCCUGUAGCAGCACUUCCUUUACAGGAGAGUUCACGCCACCAAGCUGUGAGACUUUGAGGUUUAUGAACAGUACAAAGAGGUCUGUGCGUCCUCCCUUCAGUACAGCAUGUUGUGCUCUACCAGCAGCAGUGACAUUGUUGUAUAGACGUCUCAAACAGUAUGGAUAGAUGGAAACUGUGGUUCGUUGUCCUCCUGACUCUAACUUAUUGUAUCAGCAGCACAGGUACUGUAGAUACCUUUUAUAAUUUGACUUAUACAAGACGUUUUUGUUUUGUUAAUCAUUCUGGCUUUGGUUUAAAG
rnacentral:lncRNA from 15 species